rnacentral:rRNA from 1 species
GGAUCGCCCUUUCCGUAGGUGAACCUGCGGAGGGAUCAUUACUGAGUUUACGCUCUACAACCCUUUGUGAACAUACCUAUAACUGUUGCUUCGGCGGGUAGGGUCUCCGCGACCCUCCCGGCCUCCCGCCUCCGGGCGGGUCGGCGCCCGCCGGAGGAUAACCAAACUCUGAUUUAACGACGUUUCUUCUGAGUGGUACAAGCAAAUAAUCAAAACUUUUAACAACGGAUCUCUUGGUUCUGGCAUCGAUGAAGAACGCAGCGAAAUGCGAUAAGUAAUGUGAAUUGCAGAAUUCAGUGAAUCAUCGAAUCUUUGAACGCACAUUGCGCCCGCCAGCAUUCUGGCGGGCAUGCCUGUUCGAGCGUCAUUUCAACCCUCAAGCUCUGCUUGGUGUUGGGGCCCUACAGCUGAUGUAGGCCCUCAAAGGUAGUGGCGGACCCUCUCGGAGCCUCCUUUGCGUAGUAACUUUACGUCUCGCACUGGGAUCCGGAGGGACUCUUGCCGUAAAACCCCCAAUUUUCCAAAGGUUGACCUCGGAUCAGGUAGGAAUACCCGCUGAACUUAAGCAUAUCAAUAAGCGGAGGAAGGGCGAUCCCA